rnacentral:hammerhead_ribozyme from 1 species
AUCCAUCUGACGAGUCCCAAAUAGAACGAAAUGCGCGUCCUGGAU